rnacentral:rRNA from 1 species
UACGGGGGGGGCAAGCGUUGUUCGGAAUUACUGGGCGUAAAGGGCUCGUAGGCGGCCAACUAAGUCAGACGUGAAAUCCCUCGGCUUAACCGGGGAACUGCAUCUGAUACUGGAUGGCUUGAGUUCGGGAGAGGGAUGCGGAAUUCCAGGUGUAGCGGUGAAGUGCGUAGAUAUCUGGAGGAACACCGGUGGCGAAGGCGGCAUCCUGGACCGGCACUGACGCUGAGGAGCGAAAGCGUGGGGAGCGAACAGG